rnacentral:rRNA from 1 species
UAGGGAAUCUUCCGCAAUGGGCGAAAGCCUGACGGAGCAACGCCGCGUGAGUGAAGAAGGAUUUCGGUUCGUAAAGCUCUGUUGCUAGGGAAGAAUGAUUAUGUAGUAACUAUACACAGUAGAGACGGUACCUAACCAGAAAGCCACGGCUAACUACGUGCCAGCAGCCGCGGUAAUACGUAGGUGGCAAGCGUUGUCCGGAAUUAUUGGGCGUAAAGCGCGCGCAGGUGGUUUAAUAAGUCUGAUGUGAAAGCCCACGGCUCAACCGUGGAGGGUCAUUGGAAACUGUUAAACUUGAGUGCAGGAGAGAAAAGUGGAAUUCCUAGUGUAGCGGUGAAAUGCGUAGAGAUUAGGAGGAACACCAGUGGCGAAGGCGGCUUUUUGGCCUGUAACUGACACUGAGGCGCGAAAGCGUGGGGAGCAAACAGGAUUAGAUACCCUGGUAGUCCACGCCGUAACGAUGAGUGCUAAGUGUUAGACCCUUUCCGGGGUUUAGUGCCGUAGCUAACGCAUUAAGCACUCCGCCUGGGGAGUACGACCGCAAGGUUG